ACUAAAUGAUGCGUACAGCAUGUCAUUUGAAAGAUAAAUAAAUGAACUUAACAAUGGUGUAAAAACCAACCGAAUUUGUCAAAUAUAUUCUGCGUUAUUACACGCCAAAUUUGGAUUCGAAUUAUUUUGAUACACACUGUAUAUCACUUGGCUAGAGCGCUGCACCGGAAUCGCAUGGCCUCAGGUUCGAUCUUUCGUUGUCCCCCAUCAGGGCGAGGGGUUAGAUGGGUUAGAUGCCUCUGGUGGGGGGGGGGGGGGGGCAUGAGAGUCAGGUCAUCAAUGUAUGAUGAUAUACAUGAAGAUAGGUAGUUCCUUCUGUAGCUGGGCAUGCGCAUAUUGUAUAUGCAGACGUGCAGAGAAUAUUAAUGAUGCGAACUACAAAAUUAUUUCACGGAAUAGUCGGCUUGAUUUAUUGGUAGAAUUUUGAGGUAAAGAAAAGGUUGAAGACCCAUAAACAAUUUUAGAUGAUUCAAGCAUAAUUAAAAUAAGUCAAAAAUAGAGCAAAACACAAACUUCUUGCUUGAUAAUUCUUCAUAUCGUGCUCAUUCAGUAAGUGUUAAUGAGUUAGACAACUUGUUACUUAAAUCAUAGACCGCAUCAUACGGACACUUAUACGGCCUUUCUUACGUUUAUCUUUCACUAUAUAUAUGCUAGUCGAUUUAAAAUUUUUGCCUGUUCAGCUGAGAAUGGAUAUCCACUCGCUCGGGGGAAACUUCCUACUGUUAGGUACGUCGCAUUAAAAUGGUGCAUAAUUUUUUUAAUGAAAAUACUAAAUAGAGAUUUUUAACAAGUGCUUGGAGUCUUGAAGUUUGAACGCAGAUGUACUGUACAGCAGACGUAGUUUGGACGAUAAAGAUGUAUACCGUAUUUUAGUCGGCGCUUAUUUGAGGGCGGUGCUAUUUAAUAAUUGUAUAGUUUGUUUGCAUAUGAGUUUUUUAUUUGAAUUGCACUUUUCCGAAUUUAUGGAGAAAGAAUUGAACGAAAGGGCAUUGAAAUAAACUCGAAGGAAAGUGAAAAAUUGUUCAAGUUAGCGAAGGUUCGAGGUAACGGGGUCUGCGUUGGAUUUCGCUUAUUAUGUUAAUAAUUAAUAAGGUAUUGUCGUUUUAUUGUCACAAUUGUGAGCCGUUACAGUGCACACUAAAUAACUUACAAAGUUUGUACUACUGUUACCUAAGUUGAACAGUCCCUACCAACAGUACCUAUAAGCUAAAUCAGUAUAAUGAUCGACGCAACUUGUUGAAACUCUUAUCUCUUUAUGGACUUGUAUUACGUUUGUAUAUACCAAUUAAAUUAUGAUUAUCUGGAUAGAAAUCCCCAUGCGAUUACCUAUACAAAUUUGACCAAGGGAAAAUGAAACUUGUUCGAGUUGGCGAGGACUUCAAGUUAAGCGAGUCACAUACAUAUACAUACAUGCAUACAUACAUAUUAUAUUGUGUUCCUCAAUGAUGCUUUUGGACACUAAUUCACAUGAAAUGAUGAUAGUUAUUAUAGAAUCAAG